UGUACUGUUACACUAAGGUACGUUUUAAUACUGCAUAAAAUUACUGCUUAAUUUGCACAUCACAUAGCAUUAAUUAUAAAAAAUUCAGCAUGUGCAUAUUAUAGCCGGCUAUAAAGAAAAAAAGUUACAGAGCUCCUUCCAACAUAUCAUGCUAUGUUUCGCAAGCUGUUCCAACAAUGAAAUAGAUGAUUGCACAAUGGUGGCCGCUUUUCAUAAGUUAGCUUCGCUGGAAUACAUCUGUGUUAGUGGCAAAGCAUACGAAUUUGGUUUCGUGUCUUGGUGAACUGUGCAAGCUAUUUCCGGCCCAAAUUUCUUUUUAAAGAGGUGCACGCAUUCAUCAUCAUCAUCAUCCUAUUUUAAAGUUCAAUGCAGAAUGAAGGUGCCUCCCUGCAAUCUCCAAUUAUCAUUGUCUUGCACUAGCUGAUGCGAACUUGUGCUUUCAAAUUUCAUCAUCUCACCUAGUUUUCUGUCAUCCUUGACAGAACUUCCCUUCCCUUGGCACCCAUUCUGCAACUCUAAUGGUCCACUGGUUAUCUACCCUAUGCAUUACAUGGCCUGCCCAGCUUCAUUUUUUCCUCUUAAUGUCUACUAGAAUAUCGACUAUCCACACUGCUCUCUUCCUGUCUCAUUGCAUUGCUCUUUGUACUGCCCUUAACAUGUUCUCAAGAUUCUUCGUUAACCUCCAGGCUUAUGUGCCAUACUGCAUGCUUAGAAGAACAACGUGUCUACCAAGUUGACAUUUUCAAAUUCCCUGAUUUUUUUCAGGUUUCACAGAACUUUGUUUUAUGUCAAGAUGGGCUGACACCAUGUCACCUGAUGCUGUCACUCUCUGGAAAUGCCUAUUUUCUGCCUGCCCAGGAGGAGCUCCAAGCAAUAAUCACAGAUCAAAACGUCUGAUUGUGGUAUUCACCCAUUUCUAAUGUGCCAUCUUUAACAAAACUUUCUUGGCGAUUUUCGUAUGCUUUACCGCAUAACACGGAUGUAUUGCAGCGAAGCUGACUUUGGAAAAUUGGUUGCAAUGUGCAACACAUUGGACCCUUGUCCGUUUUUUUAAAAAUAAAAAUUGUGUGCGCAUUUGAUUUCUCUUUCAUUUUAUGGGCUUUUGUCCUUUCUAUGCUAGUUUACACUUUGGACACACAGACAGCGGGCGUGUGUUUCACUCUGGGGCAUGUUAGAAUCUGUACGUAAACCAUGGCAAAUAAAUCAGUCAUGUGUGUUGGCA
rnacentral:lncRNA from 1 species